rnacentral:rRNA from 1 species
GAUGAACGCUAGCUGCAGGCUUAACACAUGCAAGUCGCGGGGCAGCAUGGGGGUUGCUUGCACUACCCGAUGGCGACCGGCGCACGGGUGAGUAACGCGUAUCCACCCUGCCCUUCACCACGGGAUAACCCGGCGAAAGUCGGACUAAUACCGUAUGUUGUCCAUUGACGGCAUCCGAUUUGGACGAAAGGUUUGGCGGUGAAGGAAGGGGAUGCGUCCGAUUAGCUGGACGGCGGGGUGACGGCCCACCGUGGCGACGAUCGGGAGGGGUUCUGAGAGGAAGGUCCCCCACACUGGAACUGAGACACGGUCCAGACUCCUACGGGAGGCAGCAGUGAGGAAUAUUGGUCAAUGGGCGUAAGCCUGAACCAGCCAAGUAGCGUGCAGGAUGACGGCCCUAUGGGUUGUAAACUGCUUUUAUGCGGGGAUAAAGUGGCCCACGUGUGGGUUUUUGCAGGUACCGCAUGAAUAAGGACCGGCUAAUUCCGUG